GGAAAGCAAUUAAAUACUAAAAACGGAGGAAAUCGUGGAGAUGGAAAAAAAAAAAAAAUCACGGAAUCCGUGACACCCAUGACUUCCUUGCCAAACACCCAGCCGUAGCCAGACGCUAACCAAACUUGUUUGAAUCGUGAUGUAGGCUACUUCAUGCACGACUUCCAAGGCCCAUAACUCGGACACUCGAGGGUUUCACUGUCUUCGGCCUUCUUCUGUGUCCAGCACUUGCAUCUCAGCUGGAGAUCUGCAUCCUGGCCCGGACCCGACGGGGCCCAAAGCCCUGAAUGACUUGGCAACCAGGAUACAUUGCUGGAGUUUUGGAAAAAUGUCAGCCCAAGCAAUACCCUCUGAUCUGCUAAGAUAGAUGCUGGACUUCUCUGUAUCCCGAAAGUUGAGUACAAAAGAGCAGACAAAUCUUUCUUUUCCUUUCAUAUUCCUAGACUGCGAGUCAGUCCUGGUCCUACAGGUCAGAGAUGCACCAACUGUGUAGCUGGUUUUAAAGGUGUUCUGAAAAUGCGUCUUAUAUUGUGCAUUAGCUUUUGGUUCAUUUGUGUUGCAUUUUAUGCUUUUAUUCAAAUUCUUUCCUUUAGCCUUGAUUUAUUUGUUUAAUCCUGCUUUUAUUUAUUUCCUUUUAGUGUUUUAGUAUUCUCCCUUUCUAUUUCCCUUUUUUUUUUGUCUUCUUGGAACAAGUGUUAUUAUAAUCUUUGUAUGUCACAUGUUUUCAGUAAACACUAUAUGCUACAAAUAAUUUUUAUGAAAGAUGUUUUAUAAAUACAUAAUAAUAAUACUUAUUAUUGUGUGAUAUAAUAGUGUGUAAAAUAGAUUAUUUAUGGUUAUGGUGAUUAUGAAAAAGAUGUUUUUGAAGAACGGAAUGCUGUUAAAAGACCAAGGGUUAAGGGUGAUGAUUUAAAUGAUUGAAUAUGAUGAUGAUUAAGACAAGUCGAUAAGGAUUAGGUGAAUUAUGGUUGGGAUUGUGAAGACGUUAAUUACUGAGAUGAGGAUAAUGAAACGGGUCAAAAUCGCAUUUCAUGACAAUUAAUUCAGCCAUAUCUUUUCUCAUUUAUUUUCUUGA